AAAUAUUAAUUAUAUUGAACUAUAACCAAUCAACUGGGGGGAAACAUUAGUUUCAUUCCUACUAAUUGUAUUCUUAUUGCAGAUCGUGGACCGCAAAGUCGUCGUCCUCUCGUCUUCUUUAUCCUUCGUGCCACCAUACUAAUGUCCUAAACAUCCAUCAUAGGCUCGUUCUCGCAUGUCAUUUUAUUCUAUCUGCAGUAUCGCUUCCAACCAUUUCCAGUCACGGUUGUAGACUUCGCAACGGAUUAUUAUUCCAUCAUAUAUAUUUCCGGGGACGUGAGGACAGGAAGACACCCCGGCCCAUCGUUUCAAUGGCCCGUAACUGCGUCCAGGAUUCCAUCCAUCAUCUAAACAAAAUCAUCAGACAGCGUAUUUCCAUCAAGUGCCAAACAUAAUCCUAAGAUAGAGAAGAGAAAUGCCCCUUUUAUACUGAUGAGCAGUGUUUAUCCAGAUUGCGUGCCAUUGACCGUGAACAUGAAGAGAAUAGCUCAUAGCCUCUACUCUAUUAUCUCAUUUAUAUAGAUUCUAGCCCUAUAUAAACUCACCACGACCAAGCAUUCAUAAACAAAGGGUUAAACUACGUGGGAUUAUCUUAUUAUGAUCUCUAUAUACAAUUUAUUCCGUAUAUAUGCUCAUCAUGACCAAGCAUUCAUAAACAAGGAAUUCCUUAAGAGACUACGUGGGAUUAUCUAUUAUGAUCUCUAUAUAUAAUAAUGGGAAUCGAAUCGAAGUUAUACCCAAUGUUCAAAGAAACUUUAUAAUUACCUACUAUUUAACUUAUUUCCUUAUUGAUAAAUUCUGUUUCCUUAAGAUUCA
rnacentral:lncRNA from 1 species